rnacentral:lncRNA from 1 species
UGCGGGGCGCACAACUUCGCCAGCCGCUCCAGCUGCUUCAAGUGUGCUGCCUUCAAGGAGGAAGCUGCCGUCAAUGGUGGCGCUGGUGGCUUUGAUGGUGACAUGUCACGCUCAAGGGGCUUCGGCUUCGGCGCUGUCGGUGGCAUGGGUGGCGGCAUGGGAGCCGGCGCGGCCGGUGGUCGUGCCAGCCGCCCUGGCUGGAAGUCUGGCGACUGGAUUUGCACCAGGUGCGUGUUGCUUAAACACUGUCCUGUCCUGUCCUUUAUUUGGGUAGCUUCAUGUAGUUAAGACUUAACGUUAAACUAUGCGUAGACAAGUAGAAAAUCAUUUUUACUACUCCUUGUGUCUGGAUAUGCUGCACAUAGUACGGACACCGUACAAUACUUUGUUUGUAGUUUGGCCUAUCCUAUCGUUGCUUUGCUUCUAGUAGUAUUAUAUCUUCUGUCCCUGCCACUUCCCCCUGUUUCCGGGUCCCUUUUUUCCUGAUAAAAAGAAGAUAUCAAUGCACGAGAAAACAAGUAGCAAUAGACAGAAGAAAAAAACUGAUCAUGCUUGUAAUGCAAACAAGUAGGUACUCCCUUUGAUUCAAAUUAAUUGAUGCAUGCUUAGUACAACUUUGACUGUUCCAGUAGGUGCCACUCACCGACAUGACUGUCGUUUAAUUAGUAGAUAUAAGCAAGUAGAUGUAGGUCGUCUUUAUGUACAAGACCGUAGCUGGCUGUUCCAUGCAUGUUCUUAUAUUACAUAAGUAUUUUGCUUUGUGCUAAAGGUGUUGUAUUUCUGCUGGCUCUGUGUAGGUCUGGAUGCAACGAGCACAACUUCGCCAGCAGGCAGGAGUGCUUCAGGUGCAACGCACCGAGGGACUCCGGUAGCGCCACGCCAUACGAAAAUUUCUUGUAAACUAUCAGAUCCAUUCAUCCCCCCUUGACUCGGCGUUAGAUGCCCCGGUCUCUAACCAUGUAUCGUGUGCAUCGAUCUGCAGGCACUGAGGUGUAGGAAGGCCGCGGCGAUGAGCAGAAGCAGCAAAGGGUGUCCGUGUCCCGCAGUCGACAUCAUCAUCAUAAGAAGAAGAAGAAGAAAGUAGAAUGCAAAGAAAUCCUCCUCGAGUGCAUGCUUACUAGUUUUGUCUCUUCCCGUUUUAGAUUUGGUUGUCAUUUCCCAUUUGGGACCGUCCGUCUGUCCGUCUGAUCGAUGAUGACUAGCUAUGUUUACCGUUUUAUUAUUUCCGUUCCUUUCAUCAAGUUUGCAGUUCGAGUUAUGUAACCCAAAGACGUAUGCUUUGCUUCAGAAGUAUUAUUGACUAGUAGUACUAUUGCGUCUUAAAUUCCUGUUAAGCUGAGAUUUGAUUAUGUGUGCAUGUGCAUUGCAACCCGUCUCGCAUGUUAUCUUUUCCUCUGGAGAGACAAAAUUUUUUAACCUCAACUGGUCAUAAAGAAAAUGUAACAAAACGGAACGGAACGCAUCACGUGUAUGCAAGUGUCAGCGCCGCGCUAACGUAAUUUGUGCAUGCACUACCAUAACAAAAACCGCGCUUCAGCACGUGCAGAACACAUUCCUCGCGGCGACUCGAAAACCUGCACGCGGCCCAACGGCAAGCUAAAGACAUGCCCCGUCGUUCUCAAAAAAAAAAGACAUGCCCCGUCGUUCUCAAAAAAAAAAAAAGACAUGCCCCGUCUCGCACUGUCACAGUAGUGCAUCGGAUGCCCUUGUCGUCUUUUACCAUGGCCAAUGCCAUAUCCAUAUGCACCUGCAUGCAUGUGCCGGCCGGCCAGGUGCGAGAGAUGCGGUCAAAAGCAUCGCUCGUCCAGGCAAGUUUCCGGCCCUCGCGGCGGGCGGCGUCGGCACCAGGUCCAGCGGAUUGGCUACGGCAGCUCCCGGCGAGAUUCCCUCCCUCCCUCUCUUCUUCGGUUAUCUCGCCUCGCUUUAUACAUGGCCUCAGCUUUGGCUCGCCGCUUUCCUUCUUUCUUUAGGCCUCUCCUUUGGUUUCCUUGUCUCUUUGUAGUAUGCGUGUCUUUUAUCGUGGGGAGGAGGAACCAAAGGCGGCCGCCCGGCCCGGGGGUAGCUAAAGCCUUGCUGCUGCUGGUGCAGACGCUGCCUUUGGAGGCACCGUGUUCCGUUGCUUGACCUCCUUUGCAGUUGCGCGCGACGGCGAGUGACCACCACAUUGCACGGAUUUUCAAGAUGAUGGCCACACCAAAGUACGUACUAGUAGUAGUGGCUUUUGGAGGAGCGGGGUGGCAUCGUGGAGUUCACCUGAAUCCCUAACUAAACUCGAACCUACUACUGACGAUGUGUUUCCCCCCUUUCGGAUGGUUUUACUGCAUACUUGCGAGCAUUCCUGAACUUAUAGGAUUCUAAAAAGGGGAUACCGUUUCGAAAUAAGUGGCUCUCCCUCCGUCUCAAAAUAAAUGUCUCGACUUCGUACUAACUUUAGUACAAAGUUGUACUAAGGCUGAGACAUUUAUUUUGGAAUGGAGAGAGUACUACUUAUAACAAACAGUUUGGAAAACUUGCACGGAAUUAUGUUCGAAUUUGAAGAGAGAAAAAACAAUUCUGCCUCCUAUCUAUUUUUUGAAUGUUGGUAGGAGUUCUACCAAAUUCAUUGAUCAGUAAGGAGUAAAAACAGUACAGAAGGGUGCCCAAUAAAAAAUGAACAAAGCACCUAAGAAAGGGUGCUAAAAGAGGAAAAAACAAGCCAACAAAUCAGCCUGGGUCGAAGGGGAUCCUUGCUCCUGCCAUGUUCCAGAUUCUAAUUUCCUCCUUAAUUCUCCUCAACAGCGUGCUAGUAUCCAUCCGCUUGUUGUCGAACAGCCGUCUGUUUCGUUCGCACCAUAUUUCCCAAGAGAUUAGGUGCAGAAGAGACAAGGUCCCUUUCUUUUUUGCGAUCGGUGCUUUUUGCCAGCAGCUUUGCAUCCAUCCUCCAACGCUGUGCAGCUCCAUCCAGGAGAUUGGCCGCAAUGAUGGCAAGGCAGCCACAGCCGCGAUCAAGUCCCAGGCCUUCCUUGCCCACGGGCAUUCCACAAGAAGAUGGAAGGCAGUUUCCAGAUUUCUCUGACACAAAGGACAGAAAUAGUUGUUCUCCCAUCCGCGCCGCAGCAACACAUCGGCCGUCCCGUCAAAUUCUGCCUCCUAUCUAUGAUACAAAGGUAUGCCCCUGUUUGUUCUGCCUCAUAUCUAUGAUACAAAGGUAUGCCCCCGUACGUUCAAAGCAUAUUGUUAUACUCCCUUAUUUCAUAAUGUUUAAGUAUUUUUGAAAAAUCAACCCUGACAAACUUUGACCAAAUUUAUGGAGAAAAAAUAUUUACAUCUAGAAUGUCAAACAUGUAUCGUUAGAUUCAUCGUAAGAUGUAGUUUCAUAUUUUUAUAUAUUUGGUAAUGUAGAUAUAAAUAGUUUUCUUUAUAAACUUACUCAAAGUUUGGCUUUUAAAACAAAUGCAUUAUGUUAUGGAACGGAGGGAGUACUUUUUACAUAAAUCAUUCAAUACAAAUGUCUCAUAUUCCUAAAUAGCGUUGAACCUAGUAUAAAUUUUUAGCCAUGCUCUUUGGGCAUUGAAAGAUUUUCAAGUGAAACUUGCAAGGUUUUAGUUCUCUCUUCGUGUGAAAACUCAUGACCUAGCCUAUGGCUAGAUCAGGCAAUGUUGACAUACACAUGUUGUUACCUUGUUCAAGAUGUUGGUUCAAAGCCUUCUUCGAGGGUGACAGCUCUUAACAUCUGGUUGGACCAACCAAUAUCAGCAUGUGAGCGACGAUUCCUUCUUGAAGGCGUUGUCUUGGAUUGAUGUGUACUUUUGUGACGCCCUCAAUUUAAUCGUACACUAAUCAUACACGCAAAUGUGCACGAUCAAGAUCAAGGACUCACGGGAAGAUAUGACAACACAACUUUAGACACAAAUAAAAUAAUACAAGAUUUAUAUACAAGCCAGGGGCCUCGAGGGCUCGAAUACAUAAGCUCGAUCUUAAACGAGUCAGCGGAAACAACAAUAUCUGCGGAUAGACAUAAGUUAAACAAGGUGCCAUAAGAUGGCUAACACAAACAGGCAUACAGAUCGAAGCGGUGCAUGCCUCCUGCCUGGGAUCCUCCUAAACUACUCUUGGUCGUCGGCGGCCUGCACGUAGUAGUAGGCACCCUCGGUGUAGUAGGGGUCAUCGUCGGUGGCGUCUGGCUCCGGGGCUCCAGCAUCUGGUUGCGACAUCCGAGAAGAAUGGAAAAAGGGGGGAAAGAGGGAGCAAAGCAACCGUGAGUACUCAUCCAAAGUACUCGUAAGCAAGGAUCUACACUACAUAUGCAUCGGUAUCAAUGAAAUGGGUAGUAUCUAUGGAGUGAACUGCAGAAUGCCAGAAUAAGAGGGGGAUAGCUAGUCUAUCGAAGACUACGCUUCUGGCGGCCUCCAUCUUGAAGCAUAUAGAAGAGAGUAGCAAGUAUAGCCUCAACUAACAUCAUAUAGCAUAAUCCUACCCGACGAUCCUCUCCUCGUCACCUUGUGAGAGAGCGAUCACCGGGUUGUCUCUGGAACUUACCUGGGCGUGAUUGAUUAAGUAUCUGGUUCUAGUUGUCAUGAGGUCGGAAUACAACUCCAAGUCUCCUGUUACCGUGGACACGGCUCGUAUUCGUCUUCUAGGAUUCCAUAUUUAGAUUCUUCUAGGGUUGAAUUGUAUUUUUAUUGAUCAAUUAGAAUUGACUUCUAGAACGUAUAAUUGUCUAAAAAGGCAUUUCUUCGAUUUGUUCUCCUCUUCUAAGGUUAUAGCUUUCGUGCUAGCUUCAUCGAUGUUACCCACCAAAUAAAGAGCUUGUUCAGGUAGGCCGUCUAAUUCUCCGGAAAAAUCUCGUGCUGAAGAGCGUGGAGGUUCGUUUCGGUAUAUUGAAAUAUAAACAUAAAAAAGAAGAUAGAGGAUAGGCUCAUUACUUAAAAAAAA